rnacentral:sRNA from 1 species
GGUUCGCGUGAAGGAUUGCAGUGGAAAUCCUUUUUUGCCAGCACAAAAUUUUCUUCUUCAGAAAAUAACAUGUGGCAAAAGAGAUUGCAGCGGAAAGCCUGACCCGCA